rnacentral:rRNA from 1 species
GAUGAACGCUGGCGGCGUGCCUAAUACAUGCAAGUCGAGCGAACAGACGAGAAGCUUGCUUCUCUGAUGUUAGCGGCGGACGGGUGAGUAACACGUGGAUAACCUACCUAUAAGACUGGGAUAACUUCGGGAAACCGGAGCUAAUACCGGAUAAUAUUUUGAACCGCAUGGUUCAAUAGUAAAAGACGGUCUUGCUGUCACUUAUAGAUGGAUCCGCGCUGCAUUAGCUAGUUGGUAAGGUAACGGCUUACCAAGGCAACGAUGCAUAGCCGACCUGAGAGGGUGAUCGGCCACACUGGAACUGAGACACGGUCCAGACUCCUACGGGAGGCAGCAGUAGGGAAUCUUCCGCAAUGGGCGAAAGCCUGACGGAGCAACGCCGCGUGAGUGAUGAAGGUCUUCGGAUCGUAAAACUCUGUUAUUAGGGAAGAACAAAUGUGUAAGUAACUGUGCACAUCUUGACGGUACCUAAUCAGAAAGCCACGGCUAACUACGUG